AACGGUAACAGGUUAAGCUGACGAGUGGCGAACGGGUGAGUAAUGUAUCGGAACGUGCCCAGUCGUGGGGGAUAACUGCUCGAAAGAGCAGCUAAUACCGCAUACGACCUGAGGGUGAAAGCGGGGGAUCGCAAGACCUCGCGCGAUUGGAGCGGCCGAUAUCAGAUUAGGUAGUUGGUGAGGUAAAGGCUCACCAAGCCGACGAUCUGUAGCUGGUCUGAGAGGACGACCAGCCACACUGGGACUGAGACACGGCCCAGACUCC
rnacentral:rRNA from 2 species